UUUAGUUGUUAACUAAGAUUUUCGUGGGAUUGAAGCCCUCCAA
rnacentral:tRNA from 1 species